rnacentral:rRNA from 1 species
CGGCCGCGGUACUUUAACCGUGCGAAGGUAGCGCAAUCACUUGUCUCUUAAAUGGGGACCUGUAUGAAUGGCACGACGAGGGCUUAACUGUCUCCUUUUUCCAGUCAAUGAAAUUGAUCUUCCCGUGCAGAAGCGGGAAUAACACCAUAAGACGAGAAGACCCUGUGGAGCUUUAGACACUAAGUCAGCCCUUGUCCAAAACCCCUAUCAAGGGACCGAACACUAGAGGAGACCUGAUUUAAUGUCUUUGGUUGGGGCGACCUUGGGGAAAUAAAAAACCCCCACGCGGAAUAGGAGCAGACUACUCCCAAAACUAAGAGCCACCACUCAAAGCAUCAGAAAUUUUGACCAACUACAUGAUCCGGCCUAACGCCGAUCAACGGACCAAGUUACCCCAGGGAUAACAGCGCAAUCCCCUUUUAGAGCCCGUAUCGACAAGGGGGUUUACGACCUCGAUGUUGGAUCAGGACAUCCUAA